rnacentral:lncRNA from 1 species
UUGGAUGCAUAUUUAUUUAUUAUGAAUUUUAAGCACUUUUAAUUGAUAAUAAAUAUAAUUUAUUAUUUAAAUCAAUAGACCCAAGAUGAGUCCACUUAGUGGUGUAUUUCAAGAUGCCUGUGUUGGUGGAAGACUAACCCAAAAGGGCCACUCACAUGUCCUCACAAGCUAACACAUGCUGGUGAAGUGGGCACAAGCCUAAUAUAUGUCAUUUCCAGCUACUAAUUGC